ACGCGCCCCAAAGCCUGCCACAAUGAGCACGAAUGAAGAUAAAAUCGAGGGGGAAAAGGGGCGCCUGGGUGGCAUUAAAAGCAUAAUUUGCAGAGGGUGAGGGGGGAGGUAAGGCUGGGCUCAAUCUGGUGCAGUAAUGAGCUGUAGAGCCGGGUGUCCUUGGUGGUGCAUUGACCCUGCUGGGGUGUCUUCCUUGGAAAUGGCAAGGACAGGGGUGUAUUGCAAGAACAAAGAUGCCCUUUUGAUGCUCUGCUGCAGCACUGGAGAUAAUGAAAGGGAGAGGAGCCUCGAUAAGGAUGAAAGAUAUCUUCCCUCGGCUUCCCCGCGCGGAUAAAGCACUUCCCAGAUGAAGAGGAUUUGGACUAAAAAGCAGCGCAAGAGUAAAACAAAGUAAACAGGGACCAGCGUUGCCGCGUUGACGUGGUCUCCUUCAGCUGGGCUUUGGGGUAAUGCCCCCGGCUGGGGUGGUCUGAGGGCACCCGUGGGAUGCUCGCGCAGCUCUGCUGGGCUGGAGGAGGAGGAGAAGGACAGCAGAUCCU
rnacentral:lncRNA from 1 species